GUGAGAACAUGGUUCAGAAAGACAUAGAAUGAGAUUGUUGUAAAUACAAUGUUAUAUUGUGCAUGCUAAGCAUCUUUUUUGCAGAUCCCGGAUAUUCAUACGUUACAGUCACUGACAUUACUAUAUAGUUCAUAGUGUUAUGACUGCUUAAUUCAUGUCUUAUUAAGUGUGGAAAUGCUGCUGAUCCAAUAUGUUUUAAUGGUGUUUCUGUGCAGAGGAAGGCUCAUCCAGUGUCCUGGCUGUGGUCCUGUCCAUUCUCCUUCUCCUCGUCUUAGUUGCUGUUCUGGCAUUUCUCUUGUGGUACUACUGGAGGAAAUGCAAGAAACGUACGACCAUCCUAUGUCCUAUGAAAAACGUUUAGUUCCAGACUCCGGAAAUAUAUGGUGCAUAGUUCGGUAUUACUGGGAGAAAAAGCCCCUCAUUAUAUUGAUAUGGCUAGACCAGAGUCAAUCCAUUUCCUCCCUACUCCCCUGGUGUGUGCUGAGCUUUUGAGAUGAUCACUGUCCCAGUGACGCCAGCUGACUUGUUACAAGGUCGUUGACCUUGGAUCUGAGAUUAGAGUUGAAAAGGGGAGAGAAAAGAGUACAACCAGCAAACAAAGCAAAGUAACUACAUAGUCUUUCUGGUUAGACAUAUUCAUGUUGCAGGAUGUUCACCCACAUUACUUCCCUAUGUCUAAUUCUGUCAUUUAUCCCUCUUGUCUUUUCUACUCUGUGGUGGAUGACCAGCAGCUGAAGCUGCACUGACAAAAUCUCAAGAGGAGAAAGGACUGAUGGAAGUUACAAAACAAGGAAACAAAGAUCCUGAGGAUGACCAUUCUGAGAACACUGGAAAUAUAACUUCUAUACCAAAAGGAAUGGUAAAAGAGCAGGUAGAGCUGAUAAACAAGCAGAAUGCAGAUCCAAAUAGGAAAUGGCAAACUGAACCAGCUGGAAGAAUUUUCUCUCAAACAAAAAUGACAGACACAGAGCAUGUACAGGACAAGCCCAACCCAGGCCAACAAGACCUAGUCACACCAGACCACACCCAGGCCCAACAAGACCUAGUCACAGCAGACCCCACCCCUGCCCAACAAGACCUAGUCACACCAGACCCCACCCCUGCCCAACAAGACCUAGUCACACCAGACCCCACCCCUGCCCAACAAGACCUAGUCACAG
rnacentral:lncRNA from 13 species